rnacentral:rRNA from 1 species
CCUACGGGAGGCAGCAGUGAGGAAUAUUGGUCAAUGGACGAGAGUCUGAACCAGCCAAGUCGCGUGAGGGAAGAAGGUCCUAUGGAUUGUAAACCUCUUUUGUCAGGGAGCAAAGUCCCCCACGUGUGGGUGUUGGAGAGUACCUUACGAAAAAGCAUCGGCUAACUCCGUGCCAGCAGCCGCGGUAAUACGGAGGAUGCGAGCGUUAUCCGGAUUUAUUGGGUUUAAAGGGUGCGUAGGCGGGUUAUCAAGUCAGCGGUAAAAUCGUGGAGCUCAACUCCACCCAGCCGUUGAUACUGAUGAUCUGGAGUGGGCGAGAAGUAGGCGGAAUGCGUGGUGUAGCGGUGAAAUGCAUAGAUAUCAUGCAGAACUCCGAUUGCGAAGGCAGCAUACCGGCGUACGACUGACGCUGAAGCACGAAAGCGUGGGGAGCGAACAGGAUUAGAUACCCGUGUAGUC